CAGUAGCCGCGGUAAUACGUAGGUGGCAAGCGUUGUCCGGAAUUAUUGGGCGUAAAGCGCGCGCAGGUGGUUUAAUAAGUCUGAUGUGAAAGCCCACGGCUCAACCGUGGAGGGUCAUUGGAAACUGUUAAACUUGAGUGCAGGAGAGAAAAGUGGAACUCCUAGUGUAGCGGUGAAAUGCGUAGAGAUUAGGAGGAACACCAGUGGCGAAGGCGGCUUUUUGGCCUGUAACUGACACUGAGGCGCGAAAGCGUGGGGAGCAAACAGGAUUAGAUACCCCCGUAGUCCCUGUCUCUUAUAC
rnacentral:rRNA from 1 species